rnacentral:rRNA from 1 species
AGAUUAAAGCUUGUACCUUUUGUAUGAUGGUUCAGUAAGGUUAAGUAAAGAAAAUUUUAGUUCCCGAAGAUAGACGAGCUAGUAUAUUCUACUUUUGAGAGAGAAGGAAAUUUUUACUGUUGCAAUAGUAAGGUUUGAGGAUAUAUUAGGUGUGAAAUGCUUAUCGUGUUUAUGGAUAGCUGGUUCUUUUGGAAAUUGGUGUUAGCUAAGUGCAUAUUUUUAUUGGAAUGGUAGUACUUUAGUUGAGUAAAGGUAUGAUUUUAAUAAUAGUAUAUAGUGGUGAGACAUAAAGGGAUAAGUCUUUUUGUCAAGUAGGAAAAAGCUUUGUCUAUUAAUUAAGAGUGAUUUGAGUUGGAAAUGCGAUGGUAGGUUGAAAAGAAGUAGGAUUAAUAGCAUCUAUCUUUGAAGAUAGCGUUAAAGCUUAUUUAUUUGUAUCAACGUAAGAAAUUGAAAAGAAUAGUACUCUAAAUUAUAGAGGUUUACAAGAGAAUUUCGUGAGAGCGAGUGUUAUAAUGCUGGAAUUAGUAGAGUGAAUAUUGUUUGUGUAUUAAUCAAUCCUAACAUUGGAUGGAGUAAGGUUUACUGUCGAGAAGAGGUUUUAGUGGAUUGUCUACUAACGCAAGUGAUAUAAAAGUAUGAAUGUAAGGGAAAGGAAUUCGGCAAAUAAUGAUUUCGCCUGUUUACCAAAAACAUCGCCUUUUGUAAAGAGUCUAAUAUAUAAAAGGUCCUGCCUGCCCGGUGACUUAGUUAAACGGCCGCGGUAUUUUGACCGUGCAAAGGUAGCAUAAUCAUUUGCCUUUUAAAUGGGGGCUGGUAUGAAUGGCAAGACGGGAAUCAAACUGUCUCUCUCUUAUGUAUUUUGAAAUUAAUAUUUCCGUGAAGAAGCGGAGAUGGAGUCGUAGGACGAGAAGACCCUAUCGAGCUUUAGUCGAAUAAUUAUAGGCUAGUGGUGGUAUUUUAUAUGCUAAUAAGUUAUUUUAUUAGUUUGAAAGGUACUGUUAAUAAUACUGAGGUUAUAUAUUGUAGACUUAGGUUGGGGCAACCGCGGAGAAUAAGAAUCCUCCGCUGAAUUAUUGUUAAAUAUUAUAUUUUCGAUAGUUAUGUUUAUUAGAAGUGAUCCACUUGUAAGUGAUUAAAAAAAUAAGUUACCGUAGGGAUAACAGCGUAAUUUUUUUGGAGAGUUCAUAUUGAUAAAGAAGUUUGCGACCUCGAUGUUGGAUCGGGAUUUCC